AGAGCUACGGUUUAGUAGGUUCUAGGACUACCGUAGAGAGUAUUGAGGUUUGCUAUACAUGCCAUUAUUCAAAUAUUGAUAGUGUGACAUCUCCUAACUGUUCAAAUUGUUUUGAAUAUAGUAAAUGUCUUCCAAUCAAGCACAAGAUGAGUCCGAGGGAGCCGAGAGCCAUGCUCCAGCUUCCAUACAAUGAGCUGUAUCUAGUAGUAGUAGAAGAAUUAUGUCUAAAGGCCAGGAAGAGGCCCGAGCUGCCUUCUCUGAUAUGAUGGACGAAUGGUUUGGGGAUUACCUGAGGAAUCGCCCAAACAUACCAAGCCUUCCCCCGCCC
rnacentral:lncRNA from 1 species